UACGUAGGGGGCAAGCGUUGUCCGGAAUCAUUGGGCGUAAAGCGCGUGUAGGCGGCUCGAUAAGUCUGCUGUGAAAGUCCAGGGCUCAACCCUGGGAUGCCGGUGGAUACUGUCGAGCUCGAGUCCGGAAGAGGCGAGUGGAAUUCCUGGUGUAGCGGUGAAAUGCGCAGAUAUCAGGAGGAACACCGGUGGCGAAGGCGGUUCU
rnacentral:rRNA from 1 species